CCUACGGGAGGCAGCAGUGGGGAAUUUUCCGCAAUGGGCGCAAGCCUGACGGAGCAACGCCGCGUGAGGGAUGAAGGCCUCUGGGCUGUAAACCUCUUUUCUCAAGGAAGAAGACCUGACGGUACUUGAGGAAUAAGCCACGGCUAAUUCCGUGCCAGCAGCCGCGGUAAUACGGGAGUGGCAAGCGUUAUCCGGAAUUAUUGGGCGUAAAGCGUCCGCAGGCGGCCUAUUAAGUCUGUCGUUAAAGCGUGGAGCUCAACUCCAUUUAAGCGAUGGAAACUGGAAGGCUAGAGUGUGGUAGGGGCAGAGGGAAUUCCCGGUGUAGCGGUGAAAUGCGUAGAUAUCGGGAAGAACACCAGUGGCGAAGGCGCUCUGCUGGGCCAUAACUGACGCUCAUGGGCGAAAGCCAGGGGAGCGAAAGGGAUUAGAUACCCCUGUAGUCCUGGCCGUAAACGAUGAACACUAGGUGUCGGGGGAAUCGACCCCUCGGUGUCGUAGCUAACGCGUUAAGUGUUCCGCCUGGGGAGUACGCACGCAAGUGUGAAACUCAAAAGUAGUAAGUUAGGACGCGUAGACGUACGUCGACCGACGGACCGAACCGACGGGAAGGGAGGUAGG
rnacentral:rRNA from 1 species